rnacentral:rRNA from 1 species
AUUGAACGCUGGCGGCAGGCCUAACACAUGCAAGUCGAACGGUAGCACAGAGAGCUUGCUCUCGGGUGACGAGUGGCGGACGGGUGAGUAAUGUCUGGGAAACUGCCCGAUGGAGGGGGAUAACUACUGGAAACGGUAGCUAAUACCGCAUAACGUCGCAAGACCAAAGUGGGGGACCUUCGGGCCUCACACCAUCGGAUGUGCCCAGAUGGGAUUAGCUAGUAGGUGGGGUAAUGGCUCACCUAGGCGACGAUCCCUAGCUGGUCUGAGAGGAUGACCAGCCACACUGGAACUGAGACACGGUCCAGACUCCUACGGGAGGCAGCAGUGGGGAAUAUUGCACAAUGGGCGCAAGCCUGAUGCAGCCAUGCCGCGUGUAUGAAGAAGGCCUUCGGGUUGUAAAGUACUUUCAGCGGGGAGGAAGGCGGUGAAGUUAAUAACUUCACCGAUUGACGUUACCCGCAGAAGAAGCACCGGCUAACUCCGUGCCAGCCGCCGCGGUAA